UACGUAGGGUGCGAGCGUUAAUCGGAAUUACUGGGCGUAAAGCGUGCGCAGGCGGUUAUUUAAGCCAGAUGUGAAAUCCCCGGGCUUAACCUGGGAAUGGCAUUUGGGACUGCAAGGCUGGAGUGCGGCAGAGGAGACUGGAAUCCCUGGUGUAGCAGUGAAAUGCGUAGAUAUCAGGAGGAACACCGAUGGCGAAGGCAGGUCUCUGGGCUGACACUGACGCUCAUGCACGAAAGCGUGGGGAGCAAACAGG
rnacentral:rRNA from 1 species